ACAAUGUUUAAAAACCUAAUGGCGAACCCCAAGUUUAGUCACUUUCGAGAGCAAGAACCUGCUCGCAGCGUAUCACGACGGACAGAUAUGGCUGACAGACAGGUGAAGCAGAGCAACACGGUUAUCAAUGCGGGGCUGUCCAGACUGGAGGAGGACAAGCAAUGUGAGGAUGAUGAAUUCAUUGGGUUUGCCACACUACCAGAUCAAGUACACAGAAAGGCAGUCAAGCGGGGUUUUGAGUUUUCCUUUAUGGUUGUAGGGGAGACAGGGCUGGGGAAGUCCACACUAAUCAACAGCCUAUUUCUGACCGACCUCUACAAAGACAGGAAGUUUCCCAACCACAUACUGGACAAUGCAGAGCAGACAGUGGACAUAGAGAGAAAGCAGCUAGAAAUUGAGGAAAAAGGGGUCAAAGUACGUCUCUCUGUGGUGGACACGCCUGGCUUCAGCGAGGCGCUCAAUGGAGAGAAAUCAUGGCAGCCAAUCAUUGACUACGUGGACCGACAGUUUGAGCAGUACUACCAGGCUGAGAGCGGGGUCAACAGAAAAAACAUCCAGGAUAGUCGAGUUCACUGCUGUUUGUACUUCAUAUCUCCAUACGGCCAUGGGUUGAAGCCAAUCGAUGUAUUUAUGAUGAAGAAGCUGCACCACAAAGUCAACAUCAUCCCACUAAUCGCCAAGUCUGACACCCUGACACCAAAGGAGCGGUCCCACCUCAAGAACAAGGUAGUGACAGGGCUCUUUGUCACCCAUUCAGAUUCAAUAACAAGCUCAUAGUGCCAGAAAAAAAUUUGUUGCUGGUCACAUUACCACUAGCACUUAUCAAUUUUCUGUUAUGAUUCUGCUUUUUGUCACUAUUUUUUGUGGUCCCAUUUUUAUAUCUGAAAGUUAAAGAUGCAGAAAACAAAUCAAAAUGGCUACUGUAUGCUUUAAAAACUUAUAAGACCGUGCAAAUAAACAACAUAACAUAUUUAGUUCAUUUUCACAAAAUUGCCAUAUGUGAAUACAAGGUUAUACAGUUUAUCACUGAAUAUAUUAAUUGUUACGAUUAACCAUAUUGAUGUCCCGAUUUUAGUAACAAAGACAAAUCUAAAACAGAUAUAUACAUGUAUAUCAAUUACUUGAGAUGAGACUUGAGAAAUUCCCCAUAAGACUUCUGCUAUUAUCCUAACAUAUAUUCAUUGAUGAGGAAGUGAUAUUCUUUAUUAGAUCUUUUUUUAUUUCUAUUCAUUGGGUAUGAUAUACUGAGUUAUCUUUCUUAUCUAAUUUUUAUUUAUAGGUCAUGGAACAAAUCGAGGAGAACCAUAUUAACAUUUACAAGUUCCCCGAGUGUGACAGCGAUGAAGACGAGGAGUUCAAGCAGCAGGAUAGAGAGUUGAAGUCUGCCAUACCGUUUGCGGUGGUUGGGAGUAACACGGUGGUAGAGGUAGCAGGCAAGAAGGUCAGAGGUCGGAUGUACCAGUGGGGAAUCGUGGAAGUGGAGAAUCCCGCCCAUUGUGAUUUUGUAAAGCUUCGUCAGAUGUUGAUCAGCACCCACAUGCAGGAUCUGAAGGACAUUACAUCAGACAUCCAUUACGAGAACUACAGGGCGGAGCACCUGGCGGAACAGAUGAAGCAGUCGACCCGGGAGAGAAUGAAACUGAAGAGAGAGUCCAUGCUAAAUCCUGGAAAAAUGGAGGACACAGACAAUCUGAUUGCACAGAAAGAUGCGGAGAUACAACGAAUGCAGGAGAUGUUAGCCAAGAUGCAGGCCCAGCUACAGACCAACCCUCGGACCCCGGUCAACGGGACCUAGUGCGAUCACAUAGAGCAACAACCAAAGAACGGAGACCGACAGCGGGAGGGGGGAGUGAUCAGCCACCAAGGGAAAUAACUCAGUGAACUAAACUAGCAUUCCAAAUGUGUUCUUCAUCUUGCAUAUUCGUUAAAAGGACUAAAAACAUGUGUUUGGUUGUACAUAGACACUUUAAAUCCUCAGGCCUUUCUCUGUUCUGCUGAUGGGCUAGAGGAAUGGUACAUUUUAGCAAUCAGUGGACUGUGAAGCAGCACUAUGUGCUCCGUGUGUAAGCAUGUAACGUAACGUAUGUCAGAAUAGUGUACAGUCUUCCUACUGUCAUUUAGUGUACAUUUUAUUUAAACAAUUAAUACAUUUAUACAUUAAUUAUUCAAGGGAAAUAAAUAUGUAAUUCAUUAUAAAGUUUAGAC
rnacentral:misc_RNA from 1 species